AUACGUAGGUGACAAGCGUUAUCCGGAUUUACUGGGCGUAAAGGGCGUGUAGGCGGUCUUGCAAGUCAGAAGUGAAAUUCCUGAGCUCAACUCGGGCGCUGCUUCUGAAACUGCAGGACUUGAGUGCUGGAGGGGAUAGCGGAAUUCCUAGUGGAGCGGUAAAAUGCGCAGAUAUUAGGAAGAACACCGGUGGCGAAGGCGGCUAUCUGGACAGUAAUUGACGCUGAGGCGCGAAAGCGUGGGGAGCAAACAGGAUUAGAUACCCUGGUAGUCCAUGCCGUAAACGAUGAAUACUAAGUGUAGGGGGUAUCGACUCCCUCUGUGCCGCAGUUAACACAAUAAGUAUUCCGCCUGGGGAGUACGGCCGCAAGGUUGAAACUCAAAUGAAUUGACGGGG
rnacentral:rRNA from 1 species